GUGUUUCUGGCUAAAGAGAUAACUACCUGUGGGGAAAAGAAACAGGAGACACCGAAGACGACCGUCAGCUGGGGAUACCAUAUUCGUUUUAACCUCAAACCGAAAGAAGGAACUGAACGAGUGCCUCGCGUAAGGCGCACUUCUUGGCCCCAAGGUACCUCGUCGUCAUUCAUUUGCAACAGCAGCUGCAAGCAUAAGAAUAUACCUAAAAAAAACAGUGGACCUGGACACUUGGUUAUACCUGCAGCCGUACAGGACAGAUGUACAGAGCAUGGGUGGAAUGAAGCGGAUGGAGGCUCGAAUGAAGAAACGACUACAUGUUCUAUUUAAGGAGAGCCCUUCCACCCGUCGGAGACAAGCCCAGUGGACUAAUAGGGAACUCUCCUUAUAUAGAGGAAGAUCUACCGUGUCCACAGUCCAUAGCGAUUCAGAGAAAUGGCUUUUCAGUCAUACAACACCGAAUUAAGUGACAACAGAGAAGACAUUGGGGAAGUGCUUUCCAACAACAUUUUGAAACCUGUUUCUCCAAAGCUAUCGACCACUGACAAGUGUGCUGCAAGACCAGAUGCGUGAAAUCUUCCUUGUUGCUGCAAGGGAAGCCAGUAAAGCUCACAGAACAAAGUAAUGGUGCUUCACGUAACAGUGUGUGUGAGUGAGCAACACACGUGGAGCUGCCAAUGGCAUCAACGUUACAUCAUCAUUUUCGCGUGUCCUCGCGACACAUUACCUAUAAAGGUCAGUUGGGCACUCUCAACCACCCAGAACAGUUGUCGUUCUUUUGUGUCCCAACAGGUUUCUCAUCGGUGCAAAGUACAUAUUUUUCUUUUGUGUGACAAUUCGCUUUGUGACCAAUAUCUGCAAAAAUGGUGGAGGUUAAUGUGAGUCGACUUACUGUGUUCAAUUUAUUUCCAUACAGUACACAAUAAAGUGG